UGCCGGAGUCCAUAGAAGCGGAUUCUCCUAAGUGUCAGACGACCCUGCUCUGCUGUGUAAUAAUUACCUGAUGGCAUGCAGCAGUCGCGUGUACGCAAGCCUGCUGGGCGGGUAGUUAAUUAAAAAAAUGACGGCUCCUCGGCGGCCUUGCACUCUUCUCCAGGUGGGAACUAUGAGGGUGGCGGAACUCACUGCGCGCCGAUCCCCGGGAAGGGUUUCCUUGCAGUACCCGUUGCCUGGCAUGAGUGAUGGCCGCAGUGGGCGUGGUCAGAGGUGAGAACACGUCGCUUGUUGCCUUGGCUGCUGUGGGGCAUAUUCCGGACCAUGUGAUCUCCUACAUGAAUAGUGAAUACCAACUGAAGACAGUCUGCCCAGGGAGGAUCAACUUCUUCAGAGGUUCCCGGAUGCAGAGAAACCACCAUAUACUAAUGGAUCUCCUCAUCAAAAACAGGACGACAGGAUGGGAUGGCGCAGUUGCAUGAGAUCUGACCAUGCCAGUUAAGUGGUUAAUACAGCACUAAAUAUGAUCAUGUUGAUAUAUUUAUUUAAAUUAAAUACCAUGAGUUUCAAUGGUGUUUAAUAUUUAUUAAAUAGAUGUUCUUGUCACUAAUG